ACAUUGGUUACUUCAUGGACGUACCAGAUUAAGUCAUAACCUCUAUAAAUUGGUCCUCCCUCCACCCAUUAGGGUUACCACAUAUUCUCUACAUUAAUUCCAUCGCUGACGGUUGUGGUAACAUAAAGUUAGGGCAAGGAGGUAGAAACCAAUUUACGACUAACGCUUCCGCUUCUCUUUGUGAUGAUGUCUUCCGCAUCAGGUAUGUGCCUCUAACAUUCUCUAUGUAAGAUUAUCAUGUUCAAGAUC
rnacentral:lncRNA from 1 species